rnacentral:rRNA from 1 species
GUGGGGAAUCUUGCGCAAUGGGCGAAAGCCUGACGCAGUCAUGCCGCGUGAAUGAUGAAGGUCUUAGGAUUGUAAAAUUCUUUCACCGGGGACGAUAAUGACGGUACCCGGAGAAGAAGCCCCGGCUAACUUCGUGCCAGCAGCCGCGGUAAUACGAAGGGGGCUAGCGUUGCUCGGAAUUACUGGGCGUAAAGGGCGCGUAGGCGGACAGUUUAGUCAGAGGUGAAAGCCCAGGGCUCAACCUUGGAAUUGCCUUUGAUACUGGCUGUCUUGAGUACGGGAGAGGUGAGUGGAACUCCGAGUGUAGAGGUGAAAUUCGUAGAUAUUCGGAAGAACACCAGUGGCGAAGGCGACUCACUGGCCCGUUACUGACGCUGAGGCGCGAAAGCGUGGGGAGCAAACAGGAUUAGAAACCCCAGUAGUCC